GUUUGUACCUUUUUGUAAUGUUGAGGUUGAUUGGGUGAUAAAGUGCAUAUUAAGCAUUUUUUAGGGGUGAGAGUAGAAGUAAGGAUGACAUUUAAGUGACUCCAGGUGAGAUUAUAGGACUGGGUUAAGUAUCAGAACAUCUUUAUUU